GGAUUCCCCUAGUAACUGCGAGUGAAGCGGGAAAAGCUCAAAUUUAAAAUCUGGCGGUCUGCUGGCCGUCCGAGUUGUAGUCUGGAGAAGUGUUAUCCGCGUCGGACCGUGUACAAGUCUCCUGGAAUGGAGCGUCAUAGAGGGUGAGAAUCCCGUCCAUGACACGGACGACCGAUGCUAUGUGAGGCACUCUCAAAGAGUCGAGUUGUUUGGGAAUGCAGCUCAAAAUGGGUGGUAAAUUCCAUCUAAAGCUAAAUAUUGGCGAGAGACCGAUAGCGAACAAGUACCGUGAGGGAAAGAUGAAAAGCACUUUGGAAAGAGAGUUAAACAGUACGUGAAAUUGUUGAAAGGGAAACGCUUGAAGUCAGUCGCGUCCUGUGGAACUCAGCCUUGCUUCGGCCUGGUGUACUUUCUGCAGGACGGGUCAACAUCAGUUUUGGCCGGUGGAAAAAGGCUAGGGGAAUGUAGCGCCGUUUCGGCGGCGUGUUAUAGCCCUUUGUCAAAUACACUGGCUGGGACUGAGGACUGCAGCACGCCCUUGUGGCCGGGGGUUCGCCCCACGUAACGUGCUUAGGAUGUUGGCAUAAUGGCUUUAAGCGACCCGUCUUGAAACACGGACCAAGGAGUCUAACAUGCCUGCAAGUGUUCGGGUGGAAAACCCUUGCGCGUAAUGAAAGUGAAAGUUGGGAACCUCCGCAAGGGGGUGCACCGACGCCCGGCCCUGAAGUUCUCUGACGGUGCUGCGGUAGAGCAAGUAUGUUGGGACCCGAAAGAUGGUGAACUAUGCCUGAAUAGGGCGAAGCCAGAGGAAACUCUGGUGGAGGCUCGUAGCGAUUCUGACGUGCAAAUCGAUCGUCAAAUUUGGG
rnacentral:rRNA from 2 species